GGGGGCAAACUACCCGCCCUCCAGGACACCUACAGCACCCAAUGUCACAGGAAGGCCAAAAAUAUCCUCAAGGACAUCAACCACCUGAGCCACAGCCUGUUCACCCCAUUGCCAUCCAGAAGGAGAGAUCAGUACAGGAUGGAAACCCAGCUAUUGACACCCUAAAGACUCUGGCAGCUGCUCUAGUCCAGUGUCACUUUGACUAUGUCUGCACAUGGUUCACCAGCAGCCCCAAACAUCUGAAGAAUAAACUACCAGCCAAACAAGCUUAAUGUUUCCACCAUCACUUCCGAUGACCGAAAAGAGCUCCUGGACAUCAGAACAGCAAUCACUAACCUGGAUUUGGAUGAAGAUUUCUAUCUCGACGAGUCGGCGGCGCAGACAUACUGGUCACCCAGGACCAGGCCCUAAUUCCCAACACUCUGAAGAGAAAGAGACAACAAUAUAGAGGCCGACAUGUAGGAACCAUGAAGAAACAAUGGCGGCGAGUAAAUAAACCGCUUCUACCCUCUUUUCUAUUGGCGAAUGUACAAUCACUGGAGAACAAACGGGAUGAGCUCCAUUCGAGACUAUCCUAUCACCUAUCACCUCUUCAUUCAACGACUCAAUCAUGGACACUCUAUCUGACAGUUGUGGCUACUUCGUGUGAUGUACUGUUGUCUCUACCUUCUUGCCCUUUGUGCUGUUGUCCGUGCCAUACAAUGUUUGUACCAUGUUUUGUACUGCUACCAUGUUGUGCUGCUGCCAUGUUGUGUUGCUACCAUGUUGUUGUCAU